rnacentral:rRNA from 1 species
AUGGGAUUUGCGAUGGGCGACCCUGAUCAGCAUGCCGCGUGGGUGAUGAAGGCCCUCGGGUUGUAAACCUCUUUUGCCCGGGAAGAUAAUGACGGUACCUCUGGAAAAAGCCCCGGCUAACUCCCUGCCCCCACCCCCGGUAAUAUAACCUGCCCUAUACCACGGGAAUAA